UACGUAGGGGGCUAGCGUUGUCCGGAAUCAUUGGGCGUAAAGCGCGUGUAGGCGGUCCGGUAAGUCCGCUGUGAAAGUCGGGGGCUCAACCCUCGAAUGCCGGUGGAUACUGUCGGGCUAGAGUGCGGAAGAGGCGAGUGGAAUUCCUGGUGUAGCGGUGAAAUGCGCAGAUAUCAGGAGGAACACCAAUUGCGAAGGCAGGUCUCUGGGCUGAUACUGACGCUCAUGCACGAAAGCGUGGGGAGCAAACAGG
rnacentral:rRNA from 1 species